GCCGGGCGAGGUGGCGGGCACCUGUAGUCCCAGCUACUCGGAGGCUGAGGCAGGAGAAUGGCGGGAACCUGGGGGGCGGAGCUUGCAGUGAGCUGAGAUCCGGCCACUGCACUCCAGCCUAUGACAGAGAGACUCCGUCUCAAAAAAAAAAAAAAAAAAAAGUCUAUUUUUUUCUUUUUUUUUUUUUGAGACGGAGUCUCGCUCUGUCGCCGAGGCUGGAGUGCAGUGGCUGACAUCGCUCACUGCAAGCCCUCCCGGGUUCACGCCAUUCUCCUGCCUCAG
rnacentral:SRP_RNA from 1 species